ACAAGCAGCGGAGCGUGUGGUUUAAUUCGUUGCUACACGAAGAACCUUACCUGGGUUUGACAUAUAGGUUGUAGGGAACUGAAAGGGACCGACCCUUCGGGGAGCCUAUACAGGUGUUGCAUGGCUGUCGUCAGCUCGUGUCGUGAGAUGUUCGGUUAAGUCCGCUAACGAGCGCAACCCUCGUCGUAUGUUAUAUGUGUCAUACGAGACUGCCGGUAAAAGCCGGAGGAAGGUGAGGAUGAUGUCAAGUCAGCAUGACCUUUAUAUCCAGGGCUACACACACGCUACAAUGGUCUGUACAAUGGGUAGCCAAGCCGCGAGGCGGAGCCAAUCCUGAAAGCAGGCCUCAGUUCAGAUUGCAGUCUGCAACUCGACUGCAUGAAGCCGGAGUUGCUAGUAACCGCAGGUCAGCAAUACUGCGGUGAAUACGUUCCCGGGUCUU
rnacentral:rRNA from 1 species